UGACAGGCUUGGUUUUAUAUGGAUAUCAACUCAAGAUAAGUUUUUAUGGCUUGGAGUUCAACCUAAAACAUAAAAGUCUACAUUUAGUUAUGUGCAUUCUUCUUGCUGGAGAUAUCGCUACAAAUCCAGGUCCGAAUACACCGAACAAACAGCCGACUGGCAAUUGUUCAAAUAAGGAGUUUGGUCCAUCCAUUGUCCUUGCCAAUAUGAUGUCUCUUGCACCAAAGAUCGACGAGUUGAGAUGUUUUGUUAACAAUACAAAGCCGGAUUUAAUUUCAUUAACUGACACUUGGAUCAAUGACUCUGUUAGCGAGCAUCACCUUAAAAUUCCUGGCUUCAACUUACUGCUAAAGAACCGUACGUCUGGUCCUCACGGGGGUGUCGGGCCUUAUAUAAAAAACUCCGUCAUGUUCAAAGCCCUCACUGACUUAUUCCACCAAGAAUUCGAGGUGCUUUGGACCUACAUUAGACCCGCACGACUACCGAGAGGAAUUCCCUGUGUCAUUAUUGGCACUGUGUACCAUACUCAUUACCCUGAAGGUGCCAGCGAUAAGGCGAUGUUGGAAUACUUGACAUCAACAUUGACAACUAUUGAAGGACGUUAUCCCGGGUGUGGAAUAUUACUCAGGGUAUUCGCGCCCAAUUACAUGUUGAUGGACUUGAUGGAAAGUCAAAUAAGGAUAUUGCCAACCUUAUAAAUACUGCCCUUCUAGAACCGAUGCAUGCAGGAAUAUCAAUCACUUGACAGUCUUCCUCCCGUUGAUAAUGAUGCGGAAGUUCUAACGCUUGAUGAGUCUUCAGUUUACUCAGCAUUAGUAAGGCUAAAUCCUCGAAAAGCCUCUGGUCCAGACGGCGUGCCGAACUGGCUCCUUAAAGAUUAUGCCGAGUUUCUCACGAACCCAGUCUGUGUUAUCCUGAACAGUUAAUUUGCUGAACAAUCCCUCCCUCUGUCAUGGAAGUACGCCAAUGUAACACCACUACCAAAGACGAAACCUGUGACUGUAAUUACCAAGCACAUCAGACCUAUCUCGCUAACUCCGUCUCUAUCAAAACUAGCUGAGGACUUUAUCGUAAGAUAUUAUAUUGGCCCUGCCGUCCUUGAGAUCAUUGAUCCCAACCAAUAUGGCGCUAUCCCAAAAUCAUCUACUACGCAUGCCGUUAUUUCCAUGAUUCAUACAUGGGCUUCUGCCACUGACGGGACAGGUGCAGCAGUAAGGAUGGUGUUGCUAGACUACAGGAAGGCAUUUGAUCUCAUCGAUCACCGGAUCUUAGUUAAAAAGAUCCUUUCCCUGAAUGUUCCACGCAGUGUAGUUCGCUGGGUAUGCGACUUUUUAUCGAACAAUCUGCAACGCGUCAAACUGUCCAACGAUUGCUUCUCCGAAUGGGGUGCAGUUCCAUCUGGAGUUCCACAGGUUACGAAAUGAGGACCAUGGUUAAUUCUUCUCAUGAUCAAUGACCUUAAACCAUCCGAAGGGCACUCGUGGAAGUACGUAGACGACACGACAUUAACCGAGGUUGUCCCAAGAAAUAGCCAAUGCCAAAUGCAGAGUAAUGGAGAAAUGGAGUAAAAACAACAAGCUCCAGUUGAACGAAGACAAGUGUAAGGAAAUGAUAGUUGACUUUAAGAAAGUGAAACAUCAGCUUAAGACCAUCAUCAAUUCCAAAGAACUCGAGCUAGUCAGCAGUGCGAAGAUAUUGGGUGUCAUGGUGUCUAACUCACUGGAAUGGAUUGACCAUGUCAACUAUGUCGUGAAGAAAGCUAACAAACGUUUGUAUUUCCUAAUUUUGCUUAGGCGUGCAAGCAUUCCUGCUGACCAUAUCUUAAAAUUGUAUUGUACUUGCAUCAGACCAGUUCUCGAGUAUUGUGCACCUGUAUUCCACCACUCAUUACCUGCAUAUUUAUGUAACGACCUUGAACGCAUUCAAAAGCGAGCGCUUUCAAUUAUAUCUCCUGGGUCAUCUUAUACAAACAAUCUUAACAAGCAUAAUAUUAGUUCUCUCAAAGACAGGCGUCAGAAACUGUGUGAAAAACUUUUCAAGACAAUAGUAUCCAACUCAGACCGCAAGGUUUAUCAACUACUGCCAUCCAAACACGAUCCCACUUACAACCUGAGGAGAGAACGUGCGUUUGAUUGUUCUACUAUACGAACCAAUCGUUCUAGAAACUCUUAUAUUUCCGCAAUGUCAAAUAAUUUAAAGAAAUAGGUUUGCUAUGAAUUGUUUUCAUAACAUAAGUCUAACUUGAACCUUAAAGAUCGUAAUGUUUAUGUAUGAAAAUAUGUGUACUGUUAGUAUUUGUAUGUGUGUAUAUGUAUAUGCAUGUGUUUAUAGACUUUAUAACGUACAGUUAAUUUAUAUGUUUUGUAAAUUUUACGCAAUUCAGCUUUUUUGGGCUGCGAUGUAAAAUCUUAUUAAAUAAUCUGUCUAAUCUAUCUAUCUAUCCCCCUGUCGAGGAUCCCUGGAAUUCUUCAGGGGGUAAAGGGUUUUGAGCUUGGAAUUCUUCAGGGGUAAAGUGUUUUGAGUUUGGAAUUCUUCAGGGGUAAAGGGUUUUGAGCUUGGAAUUUUGGAAUUCUUCAGGGGUAAAAGGUUUUGAGUUUGGAAUUCUUCUGGGGUAUAACCAUGAAAAACAUGUAUCCUCGACAAGGUGUGUGGGUGGGGGUACGGAUAUUAAAUGGAAUAGCCCAUCAUGCUGUCAAGUGGCAAUCAUUUACAAAGCAAGUCUAUAACUAAAUGUUUUACAACCUGAGGAACUUCUUAAAUCAAUUAUUUUAUAAUUUAUACAGAUGCUACAAAAACAC
rnacentral:lncRNA from 1 species